CGUACCCGUCAGCGUUGCCUCGGCGGGCGGCCCCUCCCUGGGGCCGCUGCCUCCCUCGGGGGGUGCCCGCCGGCGUACCAAAACUCUUUUGUAUUUUAGUGGCCUCUCUGAGAAAACAAGCAAAUAAGUUAAAACUUUCAACAACGGAUCUCUUGGUUCUGGCAUCGAUGAAGAACGCAGCGAAAUGCGAUAAGUAAUGUGAAUUGCAGAAUUCAGUGAAUCAUCGAAUCUUUGAACGCACAUUGCGCCCGCCAGUACUCUGGCGGGCAUGCCUGUUCGAGCGUCAUUUCAACCCUCAAGCCCUGCUUGGUGUUGGGGUCCUACGGCUGCCGUAGGCCCUGAAAGCUAGUGGCGGGCUCGCUAUAACUCCGAGCGUAGUAGUAAAAUAUCUCGCUAGGGAGGUGUCGCGGGUUCCGGCCGUGAAAGCCCAUCUUUUACACAAGGUUGACCUCGGAUCAGGUAGGAAUACCCGCUGAACUUAAGCAUAUC
rnacentral:rRNA from 1 species